GCUAGGUGGCACAGUGGCUAGAGCACCAGACCUGGAAUCUGGAGGAUCUGGAUUCAAAUCUAGGCUUGGACA
rnacentral:tRNA from 1 species